rnacentral:rRNA from 1 species
ACUCCUACGGGAGGCAGCAGUGGGGAAUCUUGGACAAUGGGGAAACCCGUACGAUCCAGCCAUGCCGCGUGAGUGAUGAAGGCCUUAGGGUCGUAAAGCUCUUUCGCCUGUGAUGAUAAUGACAGUAGCAGGUAAAGAAACCCCGGCCUAACUCCGUGCCAGCAGCCGCGGUAAUACGGAGGGGUUAGCGUUGUUCGGAAUUACUGGGGCGUAAAGCGCGCGUAGGCGGAUUAGUCAGUUAGAGGUGAAAUCCCAGGGCUCAACCCUGGAACUGCCUUUAAUACUGCUAGUCUUGAGUUCGAGAGAGGUGAGUGGAAUUCCGAGUGUAGAGGUGAAAUUCGUAGAUAUUCGGAGGAACACCAGUGGCGAAGGCGGCUCACUGGCUCGAUACUGACGCUGAGGUGCGAAAGUGUGGGGAGCAAACAGGAUUAGAUACCCUGGUAGGAUAGCG